UACGUAGGGGGCUAGCGUUGUCCGGAUUUAUUGGGCGUAAAGAGCGUGUAGGCGGCCAGGUAGGUCCGGUGUGAAAACUCGAGGCUUAACCUCGAGAUGUCAUCGGAAACCAAUCUGGCUAGAGUCCGGAAGAGGAAAGUGGAAUUCCUGGUGUAGCGGUGAAAAUGCGCAGAUAUCAGGAAGAACACCAAUGGCGAAAGCAGCUUUCUGGGACGGUACUGACGCUGAGAACGCGAAAGCGUGGGGAGCGAACAGG
rnacentral:rRNA from 1 species